AUGAGUGUAACUAGUAUUGCAUUAAGAGUUGAAACCUGGCUUUCAGCUACAUGGCAUGUUAAAGUGCCUGUAACGUGGCUAGAAGCUUGUAUUAACUGGAUCCAAGAAGAAAAUGAUCAUGUUAAUUUGAGUCAGGCACAAAUGAAUAAACAAGUGUUUGAGCAGUGGCUCCUUACCGACCUGAGAGAUUUGGAGCAUCGUCUUUUACCUAGCGGCAUUUAGAAACUCCGAAAGGAGAACUGAAUGGAUUUUUUGCUCUGCAGAUUAAUUCAUUGGUUGAUGUAAGUCAGCCUGCAUAUGCCCAGAUACAAAAGUUGAGAGGAAAGAAUACAACCAAUGACCUAAUUACAGCUGAAACACAAGUAACCCCCAAACCUUGGGAAGCAAAGCCUUCACGAAUGUUGAUGCUACAGCUAACUGAUGGAAUUGUACAAAUACAAGGAAUGGAAUAUCAGUCUAUUCCAGCUCUGCAUAGUGAUCUUCCUCCAGGUACAAAAAUUUUGAUUUAUGGAAAUAUUUCUUUCCGUCUUGGUGUUCUCUUAUUGAAACCAGAAAAUGUGAAAAUGUUGGGAGGAGAAGUCGAUGCUCUUUUAGAGGAAUAUGCCCAAGAAAAAGUUCUUGCAAGAUUAAUUGGGGAACCUGAUCCUAUAGUUUCAGUCAUACCAAAUAAUUCUAACCAAAUCAUCCCCAGAAUUACGGAUGUUCUAGAUCCUGCGUUGGGACCUUCUGAUGAAGAACUCUUGGCAAGUCUUGAUGAAAAUGAUGAGCUUGCAGCAAAUAAUAAUACCUCUUUGGAAAGAAGUUGUUUCAUAGGUAAUUCCUCAAAUACUGUUCCCAUCAGACAGUCAGAUUUUGAAACAGAACUUGUUAUUUCUCCAAGGCCAAGGGAGAAACCACGAAACCAAUCUAUGCUUUUUACUGAUGAGGAAUUAGAUGACUUUUCAUUGGAGGAGGCCUUACUUUUAGAAGAAGCUGUCCAGAAAGAACAGAUGGAGACCAAAGAAUUACAGCUAUUGACUUUGAACAGAACUACAGAUGAAAGUAUAGAGAAGUUUUCACAUAGAUCUAAUACUCUAAAUAAUUUUUCUUUUAUUUGCAAAAAUGGAAACAAUAAUUGGAGUGAAAAAAAUUUAUCUGAGCAAAUGACUAGUGAAGACAAAUCUCUUAGUUGUCCAUCUACUAGAGACCAAAACAGUAGUAGUCUUUCAGUUAAUCAUAAUGUACCUCUACCCCAUGAUUUUACAAAUAAAGGUAAGAGCUCAGAGACAUAUAAAAUAAAACAAAUUAGCAGUUCAGAUGGACAUUCCUUAAAUAAUAAAAUGUUCAAUGGAGAGCUAGUCAGUAAUGUACCAAAAAGGAGUUCAGAUGUUCCUAAUGAAAAUGAGCACCAUUUACAGACUUGUUCUUUACAAUUGUCAGAGAAUAGCACUGGACUUCCUAUCACCAUGGAUUUGUAUUCUCCACCCUUUAUCUAUUUGUCUGUUCUAAUGGCCAGCAAACCAAAGGAGGUUACAACAGUGAAAGUCAAAGCAUUUAUUGUAACUUUAACCGGAAAUCUCUCAAGUUCUGGUGGCAUUUGGAGUGUAAGAGCAAAAAUUUCUGAUGGUACUGCAUAUCUAGAUGUAGACUUUGUAGAUGAAAUACUUACUAGUCUGAUAGGGUUUUCAGUAUCAGAAAUGAAACGGUUGAAAAAGGAUCCUUGUAAAUACCAAAAGUUCCUGGAAGGUUUGCAGAAAUGUCAGAGAGAGCUAAUAGAUUUGUGCUGUCUGAUGACUAUUUCAUUUAAUCCCUCCUUGUCUAAGGCAAUGGUACUGGCAUUACAAGAUGUUAAUACGGACCACCUUGAGAACCUAAAGAGGAGAUUAAAGAAAUAA
rnacentral:lncRNA from 1 species